rnacentral:tRNA from 1 species
GCCCCCAUAGUAUAAUGGUAGAACAGGUCCUUGGUAAGGACCAGACGCAAGUCCGAUUCUUGCUGGGGGCACCA